UACGAACCGUACAAACGUUAUUCGGAAUCACUGGGCAUAAAGCGUACGUAGGCGGCGUCGUAAGUGUCGGAUGAAAUCCCACGGCUUACCCGUGGAACGGUCCGGCAUACUGCGGUGCUAGAGGAUGGUAGAGGAGAGCGGAACUCUUGGUGGAGCGGUGAAAUGCGUAGAUAUCCGGAGGAACACCGGUGGCGAAGGCGGCUUCCUGGACCGACACUGACGCUGAGGCGCGAAAGCUAGGGGAGCAAACGGG
rnacentral:rRNA from 1 species